rnacentral:rRNA from 1 species
GGUUAAGCGACUAAGCGUACACGGUGGAUGCCUUGGCAGUCAGAGGCGAUGAAGGACGUGCUAAUCUGCGAUAAGCGUCGGUAAGGUGAUAUGAACCGUUAUAACCGGCGAUUUCCGAAUGGGGAAACCCAGUGUGUUUCGACACACUAUCAUUAACUGAAUCCAUAGGUUAAUGAGGCGAACCGGGGGAACUGAAACAUCUAAGUACCCCGAGGAAAAGAAAUCAACCGAGAUUCCCCCAGUAGCGGCGAGCGAACGGGGAGCAGCCCAGAGCCUGAAUCAGUGUGUGUGUUAGUGGAAGCGUCUGGAAAGGCGCGCGAUACAGGGUGACAGCCCCGUACACAAAAAUGCACAUACUGUGAGCUCGAUGAGUAGGGCGGGACACGUGGUAUCCUGUCUGAAUAUGGGGGGACCAUCCUCCAAGGCUAAAUACUCCUGACUGACCGAUAGUGAACCAGUACCGUGAGGGAAAGGCGAAAAGAACCCCGGCGAGGGGAGUGAAAAAGAACCUGAAACCGUGUACGUACAAGCAGUGGGAGCCUCUUUAUGGGGUGACUGCGUACCUUUUGUAUAAUGGGUCAGCGACUUAUAUUCUGUAGCAAGGUUAACCGAAUAGGGGAGCCGAAGGGAAACCGAGUCUUAACUGGGCGUUAAGUUGCAGGGUAUAGACCCGAAACCCGGUGAUCUAGCCAUGGGCAGGUUGAAGGUUGGGUAACACUAACUGGAGGACCGAACCGACUAAUGUUGAAAAAUUAGCGGAUGACUUGUGGCUGGGGGUGAAAGGCCAAUCAAACCGGGAGAUAGCUGGUUCUCCCCGAAAGCUAUUUAGGUAGCGCCUCGUGAAUUCAUCUCCGGGGGUAGAGCACUGUUUCGGCAAGGGGGUCAUCCCGACUUACCAACCCGAUGCAAACUGCGAAUACCGGAGAAUGUUAUCACGGGAGACACACGGCGGGUGCUAACGUCCGUCGUGAAGAGGGAAACAACCCAGACCGCCAGCUAAGGUCCCAAAGUCAUGGUUAAGUGGGAAACGAUGUGGGAAGGCCCAGACAGCCAGGAUGUUGGCUUAGAAGCAGCCAUCAUUUAAAGAAAGCGUAAUAGCUCACUGGUCGAGUCGGCCUGCGCGGAAGAUGUAACGGGGCUAAACCAUGCACCGAAGCUGCGGCAGCGACACUAUGUGUUGUUGGGUAGGGGAGCGUUCUGUAAGCCUGUGAAGGUGUGCUGUGAGGUAUGCUGGAGGUAUCAGAAGUGCGAAUGCUGACAUAAGUAACGAUAAAGCGGGUGAAAAGCCCGCUCGCCGGAAGACCAAGGGUUCCUGUCCAACGUUAAUCGGGGCAGGGUGAGUCGACCCCUAAGGCGAGGCCGAAAGGCGUAGUCGAUGGGAAACAGGUUAAUAUUCCUGUACUUGGUGUUACUGCGAAGGGGGGACGGAGAAGGCUAUGUUGGCCGGGCGACGGUUGUCCCGGUUUAAGCGUGUAGGCUGGUUUUCCAGGCAAAUCCGGAAAAUCAAGGCUGAGGCGUGAUGACGAGGCACUACGGUGCUGAAGCAACAAAUGCCCUGCUUCCAGGAAAAGCCUCUAAGCAUCAGGUAACAUCAAAUCGUACCCCAAACCGACACAGGUGGUCAGGUAGAGAAUACCAAGGCGCUUGAGAGAACUCGGGUGAAGGAACUAGGCAAAAUGGUGCCGUAACUUCGGGAGAAGGCACGCUGAUAUGUAGGUGAAGUCCCUUGCGGAUGGAGCUGAAAUCAGUCGAAGAUACCAGCUGGCUGCAACUGUUUAUUAAAAACACAGCACUGUGCAAACACGAAAGUGGACGUAUACGGUGUGACGCCUGCCCGGUGCCGGAAGGUUAAUUGAUGGGGUUAGCGGUAACGCGAAGCUCUUGAUCGAAGCCCCGGUAAACGGCGGCCGUAACUAUAACGGUCCUAAGGUAGCGAAAUUCCUUGUCGGGUAAGUUCCGACCUGCACGAAUGGCGUAAUGAUGGCCAGGCUGUCUCCACCCGAGACUCAGUGAAAUUGAACUCGCUGUGAAGAUGCAGUGUACCCGCGGCAAGACGGAAAGACCCCGUGAACCUUUACUAUAGCUUGACACUGAACAUUGAGCCUUGAUGUGUAGGAUAGGUGGGAGGCUUUGAAGUGUGGACGCCAGUCUGCAUGGAGCCGACCUUGAAAUACCACCCUUUAAUGUUUGAUGUUCUAACGUUGGCCCCUAAUCGGGGUUGCGGACAGUGUCUGGUGGGUAGUUUGACUGGGGCGGUCUCCUCCUAAAGAGUAACGGAGGAGCACGAAGGUUGGCUAAUCCUGGUCGGACAUCAGGAGGUUAGUGCAAUGGCAUAAGCCAGCUUGACUGCGAGCGUGACGGCGCGAGCAGGUGCGAAAGCAGGUCAUAGUGAUCCGGUGGUUCUGAAUGGAAGGGCCAUCGCUCAACGGAUAAAAGGUACUCCGGGGAUAACAGGCUGAUACCGCCCAAGAGUUCAUAUCGACGGCGGUGUUUGGCACCUCGAUGUCGGCUCAUCACAUCCUGGGGCUGAAGUAGGUCCCAAGGGUAUGGCUGUUCGCCAUUUAAAGUGGUACGCGAGCUGGGUUUAGAACGUCGUGAGACAGUUCGGUCCCUAUCUGCCGUGGGCGCUGGAGAACUGAGGGGGGCUGCUCCUAGUACGAGAGGACCGGAGUGGACGCAUCACUGGUGUUCGGGUUGUCAUGCCAAUGGCACUGCCCGGUAGCUAAAUGCGGAAGAGAUAAGUGCUGAAAGCAUCUAAGCACGAAACUUGCCCCGAGAUGAGUUCUCCCUGACUCCUUGAGAGUCCUGAAGGAACGUUGAAGACGACGACGUUGAUAGGCCGGGUGUGUAAGCGCAGCGAUGCGUUGAGCUAACCGGUACUAAUGAACCGUGAGGCUUAACCUU